CUCUUUUUUGUUUAUCUGGGAAUUUUGCCAGGUAUUUCCCCAGUCAGUCUGCCUGCACCCACAAUGCUCCCUCCCCCAGACGAACACCCCCCUCCCCCCAAACUCUCCCACCCACAUCCAACCCUUCCAUGAAUGUUGCUUAGCAACAUGAGACCUGGUGCAUUUUCUAGCCAAUCAAAUUACUGAACAUAUUUUCGAACACUGUUAAGGAAAGAGGAUAUCACUUUUUUUUCAGUCAAGUCCUUCUUCAAUUAUGGGUUUACACCUUACAGGUCCCUGUGUCCCUCCCCCUCCUCGAUCCCCCUGUGUGUGAGUCCCUCAUCUCAGCUUUGGUUGCUGUGCAGAUGGCUCUUUGUUGGUGCUUCACAAUGGGUCUAAGUAAAAUGUGCUGGGCACCACAAGGUUCAGCAGCAGAGGGCUGGGAGGUCUUCAGGCCAGUUUGCAGCAGGAAGGAGCAGGUAGGCGGAAAGGCGGGAAACUAGAAGGAGG